CCUACGGGUGGCAGCAGUGAGGAAUAUUGGUCAAUGGGCGGAAGCCUGAACCAGCCAAGUAGCGUGCAGGAUGACGGCCCUACGGGUUGUAAACUGCUUUUAUACGGGAAUAACGCGCCUUACGUGUAGGGCUUUGCAUGUACCGUAUGAAUAAGGACCGGCUAAUUCCGUGCAAGCAGCCGCGGUAAGACGGAAGGUCCGGGCGUUAGCCGGAUUUAUGGGGUUUAAAGGGGGCGGAGGCCGAAUGUCAAGCGUGAUGUGAAAUGUCCGGGCUCAACCCGGGCCGUGCAGCGCGAACUGGCGUGCUUGAGUCCGCGGAAAGCAGGCGGAAUUCGUGGUGUAGCGGUGAAAUGCUUAGAUAUGACGAAGAACCCCGAUGGCGAAGGCAGCUUGCUGCAGCGGAACUGACGCUGAUGCUCGAAAGCGCGGGUAUCGAACAGGAUUAGAUACCCGUGUAGUC
rnacentral:rRNA from 1 species